rnacentral:tRNA from 1 species
CCCCGGGUAGCUCAAUUGGCAGAGCGGCCGACUAAUUACCGGCAGGUUGGGGGUUCGAAUCCCCUCCCGGGGA